rnacentral:rRNA from 1 species
GAUGAACGCUGGCGGCGUGCCUAACACAUGCAAGUCGAACGGACUCGGAUUGAAACCUAGUGAUUUCCGAGUUAGUGGCGGACGGGUGAGUAACGCGUGGAUAACCUGCCGUAUGCAGGGGGAUAACAGUUGGAAACAGCUGCUAAUACCGCAUAAGCGCACAAUACCGCAUGGUACGGUGUGAAAAGAUUUAUCGGCAUACGAUGGAUCCGCGUCCGAUUAGCCAGUUGGCGGGGUAACGGCCCACCAAAGCGACGAUCGGUAGCCGGCCUGAGAGGGCGGACGGCCACAUUGGGACUGAGACACGGCCCAA